rnacentral:rRNA from 1 species
GACGAACGCUGGCGGCGUGCCUAAUACAUGCAAGUAGAACGCACAGUCUAUACGGUCGCUCGCUUCACCAUAAACUGUGACUUGCGAAUGGGUGAUUAAUGCGUAGGUAAUUUGCCUGGUAGCGGGGGAUAACUAUAGGAAACGUAAGCCAAUACCGCAUAAUAUUGAUUAUUCCAUGAUAAUUGAUUGAAUGCUGCUAUUGCAGCACUACUAUAUGGACCUGCGUUGGAUUAGCUAGUAGGUGAGGUAACGGCUCACCUAUGCGAAGAUACAUAGCCGAGCUGGGAAGGUGGUCGGCCACCCUGGGACUGGGACACGGCCCAGACCCCUACGGGAGGCAGCAGUAGGGAAUCUUCGGAAAUGGGCGGAAAUCUGACCGAGGAAAGCCGCGUGAGUGAAGAAGGUUUUCGGAUCGUAAAGCUCUGUUGUAAGAGAAGAAAGGGUGUGAGAGUGGAAAGUUCACGCUGUGACGGUACCUUAACAGAAAGGGACGGCUAACUACGUG